rnacentral:lncRNA from 1 species
UAUAAGCCUGUGCAUGGCUAUGAGAACACAGUGGAGAGCCAUGUAAAUAGCUUUUGCCUUCAAGGUGCCUGGCAGAAGCGAAUGAAUAUUGCUGUCAUGUACAUGCAAACGUUGUGAAAUGCUUCAAUGUUCCACAUCUUCUUUGGAGACCUUUAAGAAAUUCAUGGAACUUUCAGCAGUGAUAUUUACCACCAACAAUGUAAUCAAAUGGGGCAGCAAGCAAAAUGAGCUACUACUAAUGCACCAUGGAGCAGAGGAAUUUUCUCUUGCGCUAACACCACAACAGACCCAUUCUUUCAUUUGGAUUAGUAUUCACUACUUGUGCUUAGUUGCUUGCAGUGGAUACCCAAUUUGUGAAGUGAGCUGAGGUAUAAUGCAGUAUUGUAUACUGGAACACAGGGGCUGCAAAAGCAGAACUCACUAACAAAGUCAAAUGCCAUGAACGUCACAAUUGAUGAAAACUGGCCAUUUGAAAAAUCUAGAUAUGAUAAAAUUGUUAAAUUGAUGAGGAUGAAGAUUGGAUUAUAGUAUAUAUUCAGCAUGCAAAAACAGAUAAUCAGGGGAAAUGCAGUGACAGUCAAAGCAACUAUGGAAACAAUAUCCAUGGCAACAAAUGGCCUGGUCGGAAGAGAGGCCCAAAGACUGCCUGUGUCUUCCUGAUGAAAUGUCUGGUAGCCCCCUAGUGGCAAUGACCGGGUAGUGGCCCUCUGCGAGAUGGGCGCCUCUCUGGAGAUUGAGCGCCACUUCUGAGGGCCUGGAGAAGUUGACUUGUUUUGCAUCCCACGGGGUCACCCCCACCUCCCCCUUUCCUUGCACUCACUGACAUGAGACACAACGUAUGUCCACAAACAACUGCUGCUCCUCAUUGCAUCUAAAGCUCCGUUGCCGGAAAACAUACCAUUAUUUCAUGCAGCACUAAGAGGAAAACACAGCGGGUUAAACUAUGACACGCCAUUGAUUGUAAGACGCAUCCCUAUUCAAGAGAUGAUAAAUGGGA